AGAGUUUGAUCAUGGCUCAGAACGUACGCUGGCGGCACGCCUAACACAUGCAAGUCGAACGAAGUAGCAAUACUUAGUGGCAGACGGGUGAGUAACAUGUAGGUAUCUGCCCUUUGGCCUGGAAUAACACGAGGAAACUUGUGCUAAUACCGGAUAAGUCUUUACGGAGAAAGCUUUAUGCACCAUUGGAUGAGCCUGCACUUGAUUAGUUUGUUGGUGGGGUAAUGGCCUACCAAGACUGUGAUCAAUAGCUGAUUUGAGAGGAUGAUCAGCCACAUUGGGACUGAGACACGGCCCAAACUCCUACGGGAGGCAGCAGUGGGGAAUCUUGCACAAUGGAGGAAACUCUGAUGCGGCGAUGCCGCGUGAGUGAAGAAGGCCUUUGGGUUGUAAAGCUCUUUCGUCGGGGAAGAAAAUGACUGUACCCGAAUAAGAAGGUCCGGCUAACUUCGUGCCAGCAGCCGCGGUAAUACGAAGGGACCUAGCGUAGUUCGGAAUUACUGGGCUUAAAGAGUUCGUAGGUGGUUGAAAAAGUUGGUGGUGAAAUCCCAGAGCUUAACUCUGGAACUGCCAUCAAAACUUUUCAGCUAGAGUAUGAUAGAGGAAAGCAGAAUUUCUAGUGUAGAGGUGAAAUUCGUANAUAUUAGAAAGAAUACCAAUUGCGAAGGCAGCUUUCUGGAUCAUUACUGACACUGAGGAACGAAAGCAUGGGGUAGCGA
rnacentral:rRNA from 1 species